AGGGGCAUGUGUGAAGACAAGUAUCCUGACAUUUUUUAAACAUUGACUACAAGCUACAGUGUAAUGGUGGGGUCUUCAUUUAUCUCAUCCUACAGUCAUGUGCAUAUUUGAAGCAACACAGAGUUCUAUGAAUUCUUCAGCAUCUGGAGUCCGAACAAGCAACAAGCAGUAUAUAGUAAGCAAGCUGUGCUGACUGCCCGUUUCCAUCUCUGAAGAAGGAGGGAGUACUGAAUGAAAGCGGAAUGCCAGGCUACGCGGUAUCCAAUGGCUUUGCUCCUCUAACAGUUAUACGUUGAAUAAGCACAAAUAAAAAUGU